rnacentral:piRNA from 1 species
GCGCUCAGCACAUUUGAUAAUGGAAUGGCUA